GUUUGGAAGAAGGACAAAUUAGUCAUUUAUUACAUGUGAGUUUACAGAGGAAGAGGUUCUAUUUCAACUGUCAAAAGUAAAGACAAAUAAGUCAAUGGGACCUGAUGGAAUACACCCAAAGUUAUUAAAAGAACUUAAUGAUGUACUAGCAAAACCAUUAACAGAUUUAUUUAACCAAUUAUUGUUAACAGGAGUAGUCCCAGAAGAUUGGAAGUUAGCAAAUGUGUCCAUUCACA
rnacentral:lncRNA from 1 species